CUGCAGCUGGGCUCCGUUCUCUAUCACCACACCAAGAACAGCGAGCAGGCGCGCAGCCACCUGGAGAAGGCGGUGAGCGCGGGCCGGGCCGCGAGGGAGGAGUCGCGGGCUCCUUGCAAGAUCUGGGCUGACGGGUCGCGACCGCGGCGGGUGGGGGGCCGCUCCUCGGCGACCUGGGGGCGCGACCUCCGUCAAAGCCGCAGGACCCCCACCCGCCUCUGCCGGACCCCAAAGCCACCAGCCUCUCAAGGGACACGAAAGCCUCGCCCCCCACGCCUUAUUUCCCGUUUCUGGUGACAGGGCUCCAGGAGCCCCGUCACCGUACUCUGAAAGUUGCCUGUUAUUGGGAGCAACAGGAUCCGCAAAUCGUCUGGUUUUCAGGAGGAUCCCACCUGUUGGUGGCGAUGGGGACAUCACAGGGUCCUGAAGCUAUUAGCUCCUCCUGGUUCAGCUUCCGGAGCAUCAGCCCCAAACGCUUCCACCUAAAGUGACUUGGGGUAGGGGUUGGCGAAGGCGAGACCCCUGGCAUUCUCCCGGGAAUCUGAAGUCUGGUCUCUCAGGAACCUGGAAGGGCAUGAUUCUCCUUGGACACAGAAGUUUGGUAAUCGUGGUUUUUGGAGGGUCUUGUGCCCCCAUCAAUAAUGCCUGGUGUCGUACGAGGGAAGCUGAGACCCGGAGUCUGGAGUUGGUCAUUUGAGGCCUAUGAGGAGGAGAAACAGGGGUUCUGGAUUCCAGGCCCCGCUGUUCAGUUUCAGUAUUAGGGGAACUAAAAGCAGCUCCUGCUUUUUCUCCAUCCACUGGUGACUUCUACCAUCCAUCAGUCCAUCCUCUUCCGUCAGAUGGUUGAUAUCACAGCAAAUCCCGCAGUUCGAAGAUGUUAAAUUUGAAGCAGCAAGUCUGUUGUCUGAAUUGUACUGUCAAGAGAAUUCCGUUGAUGCAGCAAAGCCGCUGCUGCGGAAGGCGAUCCAGAUC
rnacentral:lncRNA from 1 species